UGUCAUAUACUUCAAAGGUCCCAUUAC
rnacentral:piRNA from 1 species